rnacentral:rRNA from 1 species
GACGAACGCUGGCGGCGUGCUUAACACAUGCAAGUCGAACGGGCCCGCUCUCUUUUUUGGGGGUGGGUUGAGGGGCGAACGGGGGAGUAACACGGGAGGAACCUGCCCCCUGCUCCUGGAUAACUGCUUGAAAGGGCGGCUAAUACGGGGUGUGCCGGCUGGUCCGCAUGGGUCUGGUCGGGAAAGUGUCAUCGUCGGGUGUUUCGGUGGGGGAUGGGCUCGCGGCCUAUCAGCUUGUGGGAGGGGUGAUGGCCGACCCAGGCGGUGACGGGUAGCCGGCCUGGGAGGGUGGCCGGCCACGCUGGGACUGAGGCACGGCCCACCCUCCUGCGGGAGGCGGCGGUGGGGGGUAUUGCAGAAUGGACGCCGGCCUGAUGCAGCGCCGUCGCGUGAGGGAUGGCGGCCUUCGGGUUGUGAACCUCUUUCUCCGGUGGUGAAGGCCCUGUCCGUUGCGGCGGGGUUGACGGUAGCCGGGUAUGAAGCGCCGGCUAACUACGUG